rnacentral:rRNA from 1 species
GCCGGUGUCUGAUUAGCUAGUUGGUAGGGUAAUGGCUUACCAAGGCGACGAUCAGUAGUUGGUCUGAGAGGACGACCAGCCACACUGGGACUGAGACACGGCCCAGACUCCUACGGGAGGCAGCAGUGGGGAAUUUUGGACAAUGGGCGCAAGCCUGAUCCAGCAAUGCCGCGUGAGUGAAGAAGGCCUUCGGGUUGUAAAGCUCUUUCAGUUGAGAAGAAAAAGUCGUGACUAAUAAUCAUGAUUCAUGACGGUAUCAACAGAAGAAGCACCGGCUAACUACGUGCCAGCAGCCGCGGUAAUACGUAGGGUGCAAGCGUUAAUCGGAAUUACUGGGCGCAAAGGGUGCGCAGGCGGUUCUGUAAGUCAGAUGUGAAAUCCCCGGGCUUAACCUGGGAACUGCGUUUGAAACUACAAGGCUAG